rnacentral:rRNA from 1 species
UACGGAGGGUGCAAGCGUUAAUCGGAAUUACUGGGCGUAAAGCGCGCGUAGGCGGCUUGGUCAGUUAGGUGUGAAAUCCCAGGGCUCAACCUUGGAACUGCAUCUAAUACUGCCAAGCUAGAGUAUGUUAGAGGAAUGCGGAAUUCCAGGUGUAGCGGUGAAAUGCGUAGAUAUCUGGAGGAACAUCAGUGGCGAAGGCGGCAUUCUGGAACAAUACUGACGCUGAGGUGCGAAAGCGUGGGGAGCAAACAGG